rnacentral:rRNA from 1 species
GCUUCACCGCCUAUCAAGUCCUGACGUACUCCGAAUGCAUACGGUUAGUAGCUGCGCAGUAAGGGCAUGGGUGCUAAGGUCCGUGCCCGAGAGGAGAAGAAUCCAGACCGUCGUCUAAGGUCCCCAAAUUCUGUCUAAGUUAGUCUAACGAAGUUCGGUCCCUAUGACAGCUAGGAUGUUGGCUUGGAAGCAGCCAUUCAUUCAAAGAGUGCGUAACAGCUCACUAGUCGAGGGACUGUGCAUGGAUAAUACUCGGGUAUUAAGGCAGAUACCGAAGGCGCGGGAUAGUAUAUUAAGAUAUAGUAUCGGUAGGGGAGCAUUCCAUAUGCGUUGAAUGGUGUAGGUAACUUAUCAUGGAGCGUAUGGAAAAGCAAAUGUAGGUAUAAGUAACGAUAAGGGGAGUGAGAUUCUCCCCCGCCGUAAGGCCAAGGUUUCCCGGGCAAUGUCAAUCAGCCCGGGGUCAGUCGGGUCCUAAGUUUAAGCCGAAUGGCGAGAGCGAUGGCAGAAACGGUUAAUAUUCCGUUACUACCUUAUGGAGCGACGUGGAGACGGAAGAGUGACACCACCGCGAACUGACGGAAUAGUUCGUUGAAGGGCGUAGGCUAUGAGAUGGGCAGGCAAAUCCACCCGUUGAGCUGAAACCUGAUAGUACGGCAGCGUCCUCGGACAAUGCUGAUAGCGCGGGUAACCAUAUUCCCGAGAAAAUCCGCUAAGCUUAAUCCAUACGGCACCCGUACCUCAAACGGACACACGUGGCCGGGUAGAGCAUACUGAGGCGUUGAGAGAUUCAUGGUUAAGGAACUAGGCAAACUGACCCUGUAACUUCGGGAUAAAGGGUCCUCCCCUCCGGGGGAGGCGCAGAGAAUAGGUCCAGGCAACUGUUUAACAAAAACACAGGGCUGUGCUAACUCGAAAGAUGAUGUAUACAGCCUGACACCUGCCCGGUGCCGGAAGGUUAAGAGGAGAUGUCACACGCAAGUGGAAGCAUUGAAUUGAAGCCCCGGUAAACGGCGGCCGUAACUAUAACGGUCCUAAGGUAGCGAAAUUCCUUGUCGGGUAAGUUCCGACCUGCACGAAUGGUGUAAUGAUCCGGACGCUGUCUCAACCAUGAUCUCAGUGAAAUUGUAGUAUCGGUGAAGAUGCCGAUUACCCGCGAUGGGACGAAAAGACCCCGUGAACCUUUACUACAGCUUAGCACUGACCUUGGUCAUCCGAUGUGUAGGAUAGGCCGGAGGCUGUGAGGCGGGUGCGCCAGCAUCCGCGGAGCCAUCCUUGAAAUACGGCCCUUUGGCUGUCUGAGGUCUAACGCGCCGUGCGCGGACACUGCUUGGCGGGUAGUUUGACUGGGGUGGUCGCCUCCAAAAGCGUAACGGAGGCUUCCAAAGGUGCCCUCGGGCCGAUUGGUAACCGGCCUUAUGGAGUGUAAUGGCAGAAGGGCGCUUGAC